GGGGGGACCAUCCUCCAAGGCUAAAUACUCCUGACUGACCGAUAGUGAACCAGUACCGUGAGGGAAAGGCGAAAAGAACCCCUGUGAGGGGAGUGAAAUAGAACCUGAAACCGUGUACGUACAAGCAGUAGGAGCCCACUUGUUGGGUGACUGCGUACCUUUUGUAUAAUGGGUCAGCGACUUAAUUUUAGUAGCAAGGUUAACCGUUUAGGGGAGCCGUAGGGAAACCGAGUCUUAACUGGGCGUCAUAGUUGCUAGGAUUAGACCCGAAACCGAGUGAUCUAGCCAUGGGCAGGUUGAAGGUGAGGUAACACUUACUGGAGGACCGAACCGACUAAUGUUGAAAAAUUAGCGGAUGACUUGUGGCUAGGGGUGAAAGGCCAAUCAAACUCGGAGAUAGCUGGUUCUCCCCGAAAGCUAUUUAGGUAGCGCCUCGGACGAAUACUACUGGGGGUAGAGCACUGUUAAGGCUAGGGGGUCAUCCCGACUUACCAACCUUUGCAAACUCCGAAUACCAGUAAGUACUAUCCGGGAGACACACGGCGGGUGCUAACGUCCGUCGUGAAGAGGGAAACAACCC
rnacentral:rRNA from 1 species